rnacentral:rRNA from 1 species
GACGAACGCUGGCGGCGUGCUUAACACAUGCAAGUCGAACGGAAGGGCCCUGCUUUUGUGGGGUGCUCGAGUGGCGAACGGGUGAGUAACACGUGAGUAACCUGCCCUUGACUUUGGGAUAACUUCAGGAAACUGGGGCUAAUAUCGGAUAGGAGCUCCUGCUGCAUGGUGGGGGUUGGAAAGUUUCGGCGGUUGGGGAUGGACUCGCGGCUUAUCAGCUUGUUGGUGGGGUAGUGGCUUACCAAGGCAUUGACGGGUAGCCGGCCUGAGAGGGUGACCGGCCACAUUGGGACUGCGGUACGGCCCAGACUCCUACGGGAGGCAGCAGUGGGGAAUAUUGCACAAUGGGCGGAAGCCUGAUGCAGCAACGCCGCGUGCGGGAUGACGGCCUUCGGGUUGUAAACCGCUUUCGCCUGUGACGAAGCGUGAGUGACGGUAAUGGGUAAAGAAGCACCGGCUAACUACGUG